UGAAUACAUGUGUUUUCUGACUUUUCGGAUAGCCAACUCUUGUUUUUUUUGGAACUUACGACUUAUGGCAAGAGAGAAGAAAAAAUGUGUGACUUUAAAAGAAAACCAGUGAGAUAAAAUCAUAGAAAAUGUAUGAUGAUUCAGGAUGUGGUCAUUUGUGACAUUAAAACAGGCAUUGUCAUCACCAAUAGACGAAUUUCACAUUCCUAAGAGUUUUCUCCAAUUGUCGGCGUAUCGCUCAUUUUUCCCACUUUGUCCUUUGUCCUAUUCUGUGGAUGCCCUAAGACAGUGUCUACCCAUCACUCCAUCUGAAAUCACUUGUUCUAUGCAUAUUUCUCUCUCAAACUUAAACUACAGAGAGCCUGUGGAUAGAGGAUGAAGAGUGACCUUGGACUAAUUUUCUAGGUCAAAGAUCAUAGGUGAUGUGAAGAAAACCAGGAAACUGAUGUUGAAAGAAGUACUUAAUGACCCUUAUGAAUGGACUUAAAUGUGAAAGACUGUUCCAUUGUUUAUCUAAGAUAUAUGAAUUUAUUUAAUAUUUUGAUAUUGAAAAAUUCAGUUACAGUUUUUGUACAUCAAAUGAAUUAUUAAACAUAUAAAAUGGAAAUGCUUUUUUCUUUUACAUGUAAUAAAUUUUUUUGAUAGAUUUUUAAAAGAAUACCCAUUAUUUCACAUUGCUUCCUUUAGAAAAGUUAGGGAAUCUUGAAGUUUCCCAGUAAUUUCCACCAGGAAUGGGACUCUAGAUAAUUCCACCAAGUUUCCGCCACACAGAAAGUGCUACACAAGUUCCACAUAGUUUCCCGAGUCAAGGAAACUUCAGGAAUCAUAAGGUUUCACGAGCUUCCAUGUAGUU